AACGCGAAGAACCUUACCUACUCUUGACAUCCAGCGAAUCCUUUAGAGAUAGAGGAGUGCCUUCGGGAACGCUGAGACAGGUGCUGCAUGGCUGUCGUCAGCUCGUGUUGUGAAAUGUUGGGUUAAGUCCCGCAACGAGCGCAACCCUUAUCCUUUGUUGCCAGCACGUAAUGGUGGGAACUCAAAGGAGACUGCCGGUGAUAAACCGGAGGAAGGUGGGGAUGACGUCAAGUCAUCAUGGCCCUUACGAGUAGGGCUACACACGUGCUACAAUGGCAGAUACAAAGAGAAGCGACCUCGCGAGAGCAAGCGGAACUCAUAAAGUCUGUCGUAGUCCGGAUCGGAGUCUGCAACUCGACUCCAUGAAGUCGGAAUCGCUAGUAAUCGUAGAUCAGAAUGCUACGGUGAAUACGUUCCCGGGCCUUGUACACACCG
rnacentral:rRNA from 1 species